rnacentral:misc_RNA from 1 species
GUUUCCGUAGGUGAACCUGCGGAAGGAUUCCAACGUUAAAACAACCCCGUGAACUUUCAGCUAGCAAUCCCUGGUAAAUCAUUGUUGACCAGCUUUUGAGUCAGGGACCUCUGCAGAUUGUGAUAUUUUAUAGCUACGGUUGAGCGAUUGCAUCUAGUGACCUGGCAUCCCCAAGUAAUCAGUGUUCUGAAAGUGUCAUGAGUCACGAUCGCUGUAGGCCCACACGGGUCACCGGGCUCUGCUCCUUACGACAACUACAGUCUAACUUCGCCGCGCGUGAAAUUCGCACGGCACCAAAAACCGAACAACUGUUAACAAUGGAUAUCUUGGUUCU